rnacentral:rRNA from 1 species
UCCGUAGGCGGAUUAAUAAGUCAGUGGUGAAAUCCCAUCGCUUAACGAUGGAACUGCCAUUGAUACUGUUAGUCUUGAAUGAGGGUGCAGUGGUUGGAAUGUGUAGUGUAGCGGUGAAAUGCAUAGAUAUUACACAGAACACCGAUUGCGAAGGCAGAUCACUAACCCUAAAUUGACGCUGAGGGACGAAAGCGUGGGGAGCGAACAGGAUUAGAUACCCUGGUAG